ACACAUGCAGUCGACGAUGAACCUCCUUCGGGAGGGGAUUAGUGGCGAACGGGUGAGUAACACGUGGGCAAUCUGCCCUUCACUCUGGGACAAGCCCUGGAAACGGGGUCUAAUACCGGAUAACACUGCGGAUCGCAUGGUCUGCGGUUGAAAGCUCCGGCGGUGAAGGAUGAGCCCGCGGCCUAUCAGCUUGUUGGUGGGGUGAUGGCCUACCAAGGCGACGACGGGUAGCCGGCCUGAGAGGGCGACCGGCCACACUGGGACUGAGACACGGCCCAGACUCCUACGGGAGGCAGCAGUGGGGAAUAUUGCACAAUGGGCGAAAGCCUGAUGCAGCGACGCCGCGUGAGGGAUGACGGCCUUCGGGUUGUAAACCUCUUUCAGCAGGGAAGAAGCGAAAGUGACGGUACCUGCAGAAGAAGCGCCGGCUAACUACGUGCCAGCAGCCGCGGUAAUACGUAGGGCGCAAGCGUUGUCCGGAAUUAUUGGGCGUAAAGAGCUCGUAGGCGGCUUGUCACGUCGGAUGUGAAAGCCCGGGGCUUAACCCCGGGUCUGCAUUCGAUACGGGCAGGCUAGAGUGUGGUAGGGGAGAUCGGAAUUCCUGGUGUAGCGGUGAAAUGCGCAGAUAUCAGGAGGAACACCGGUGGCGAAGGCGGAUCUCUGGGCCAUUACUGACGCUGAGGAGCGAAAGCGUGGGGAGCGAACAGGAUUAGAUACCCUGGUAGUCCACGCCGUAAACGUUGGGAACUAGGUGUUGGCGACAUUCCACGUCGUCGGUGCCGCAGCUAACGCAUUAAGUUCCCCGCCUGGGGAGUACGGCCGCAAGGCUAAAACUCAAAGGAAUUGACGG
rnacentral:rRNA from 1 species